rnacentral:rRNA from 1 species
AGAGUUUGAUCCUGGCUCAGGAUGAACGCUAGCGGUGUGCUUUAUGCAUGCAAGUCGUACGAUUUUAGCUUGCUAAAAUAGUGGCGGACGGGUGAGUAACACGUAAGUAAUCCACCCUCAAGUUGGGGACAACCUUGGGAAACCGGGGCUAAUACCGAAUGUGAUGGUUUGACAUAAGUCAGAUUAUUAAAGCAGUAAUGCGCUUGAGGAGGAGCUUGCGGUCGAUUAGCUAGUUGGUAGGGUAAAAGCUUACCAAGGCUACGAUCGAUAGCUGGUCUGAGAGGACGAUCAGCCACACUGGGACUGAGACACGGCCCAGACUCCUACGGGAGGCAGCAGCAAGGAAUUUUGGGCAAUGGGCGAAAGCCUGACCCAGCAACACCGCGUGGGGGAUGACGGCCUUCGGGUUGUAAACCCCUUUUACUAGGGAAGAAUAAAAUGACGGUACCUAGUGAAUAAGCCCCGGCUAACUACGUGCCAGCAGCCGCGGUAAGACGUAGGGGGCAAGCGUUAUCCGGAUUUAUUGGGCGUAAAGAGAGCGUAGGCGGCUUUUCAAGUCGGAUGUGAAAUUUCCCAGCUUAACUGGGAGGGGUCAUUCGAUACUGUUAGGCUUGAGUGCAGCAGGGGGAAACGGAAUUCCCGGUGUAGUGGUGGAAUGCGUAGAUAUCGGGAGGAACACCAGAGGCGAAAGCGGUUUCCAAGGCUGUUACUGACGCUGAGGCUCGAAAGCGUGGGGAGCAAACAGGCUUAGAUACCCUGGUAGUCCACGCCAUAAACGAUGGAUACUAGGUAUAGGGAGUAUCGACCCUCUCUGUGCCGAAGCUAACGCUUUAAGUAUCCCGCCUGGGGAGUACGGUCGCAAGAUUAAAACUCAAAGGAAUUGACGG